rnacentral:lncRNA from 1 species
GACUUUCUAUGGGGCUGAUGGGACCCUCUAUGGGGCUGCCAGGUCCAUCUACGGGGCAGCCAGGUCCUUCUAUGGGGCUGCCAGGACCUUCUAUGGGGCAGCCGGGUCCUAUGGGGCUGCCAGGACCCUCUGUGGGGCUGAUGGGUCCAAUGGGGCAGCCAAGUCCUUC